UCGUAACACGAACCGGUGCUAAAGUGUCCUACCCAACGUGCUGUCGGGGCAGGGACCCUCUAGCACCGGUUCGUGUUACCAA
rnacentral:pre_miRNA from 1 species